GGGGCUGAUUUUGGUUUCGACUUCGCCGACCGAACCAGGGGAAGCGUGCCGGUGCAGGCUGGUGACCACCGUUAAGCGUCGCAGCAAACUGAUAAGCGCCGAGAAUACUCAGCGCGACUACGCCCUCGCUGCCUAAAGCGAGCGCCUAGUCUGUCAGCCCGGACAGGUCCCUGGUCCGGGUUUCUGGCAUCGACUCAGAGGGACUCGCCGUGAGGCCGUGUCAGCGGGGUCUCACGGGACAUUUUACCGCUGACUGGGCCCGUCAUCCGGACAUGUUCGCCUGAUCCGGAGGGUCGAGCAGAGAUUCCGUGCGAACUGCGCACGGAGAAGCCCUGGUGAGGUGGAGAAGGACCCGGGUUCGAGUCCCGGCAGCUCCACUU
rnacentral:tmRNA from 1 species